rnacentral:rRNA from 1 species
AACGAACGCUGGCGGCAGGCCUAACACAUGCAAGUCGAACGAAGUCUUCGGACUUAGUGGCGGACGGGUGAGUAACACGUGGGAACGUGCCUUUAGGUUCGGAAUAACUCAGGGAAACUUGUGCUAAUACCGAAUGUGCCCUUCGGGGGAAAGAUUUAUCGCCUUUAGAGCGGCCCGCGUCUGAUUAGCUAGUUGGUGAGGUAAAGGCUCACCAAGGCGACGAUCAGUAGCUGGUCUGAGAGGAUGAUCAGCCUCAUUGGGACUGAGACACGGCCCAAACUCCUACGGGAGGCAGCAGUGGGGAAUCUUGCGCAAUGGGCGAAAGCCUGACGCAGCCAUGCCGCGUGGAUGAUGAAGGUCUUAGGAUUGUAAAAUCCUUUCACCGGUGAAGAUAAUGACUGUAGCCGGAGAAGAAGCCCCGGCUAACUUCGUGCCAGCCGCCGCCGUAACAC